UGAGUUUCCCAAGUGGCCAUCAACUACUGUUGUGGCCAGGACAUGGCAAGUUAACUGAAGAUAUACUUAUCCAUGAUUCUGGUACUGUACAAGGAGAUGGUGAUGGAAUUGAGCAACAUGGAAGCUGUCUCUGCCUUCUUGGGUUUUAGCCUUCAGUGAUGGAAGAUGCGAGAGAAGCAAACGGAGUCUUAGAUCAUGAAGGUUCCUCUUUGUUUCCAUAUGACUGAUAGACACCCACGGUCACACUGGAUUAUAGUAUUGCUUUCUUCAUUACCAAGGCAGCUUUAUUAUUGAAACCUGGUGAAACAUCUG